AAAUACAUUUAAUGAAUUUUAUUCAAAUUGCUUUAUGUAAUUUUUAAAAAUUAUUCAAGAUCAUCAUAGGUGAUGAAAUACUAAAACUCCCCUGCUUUUAAACUCUCUUUUUUAUUAAGUGGUAUAUUGGUACUGUAUUCAAAGCAUUUUCUGUUUUAUGUAAUUUCCCAUCCUGCUGUAGUGAAACUUCAUAUCUUUAUUCAGUGUAAAAUAAGAAUAAAAUUUUUUCAUGUUUUCCUUGAAUAUGGGAUGCCUUUAGCACUCAAUAAUGAUAGGAAUAUUAAUUUUAUUAUGUUUAUUAAUAAGUUGUCUUUGGAAUAAUUUAGAUAUAUCCACAUUUCCAUUGGAAAAUGCCCCUAUUGGACAUAAUAGACAAUACAACAUGGUGCCAUUCUGGCCCCCAGUCACCAACACAGAAAUGUUUGUUACUGCUCCAGACAACCUGGGAUACACUUAUGAAGUUCAAUGGCCAAGUCGGGAGUUUAGUGUACCUGAGAUAAUUGCCAUAGCAGUAGUUGCCGCUUUGUUACUGGUUGCACUCAUUUUUGGGACUGCUUCUUAUCUGAUUCGUGCCAGACGCAGUAUGGAUGAAGCUAACCAGCCUCUCCUCACUGAUCAAUAUCAAUGCUAUGCUGAAGAAUAUGAAAAACUCCGGAAUCCUAAUCAGUCUGUGGUCUAACAAAUGCCCUACUUUCUUAUGCAUUAGUAUCACAAAACCACCUGGUUGAAUAUAAUAGAUUGAGUAAUUAACUGUAUUUUCUUUCACUUUGUUACCUUCUUUCUAAUACAAG
rnacentral:sRNA from 1 species